rnacentral:rRNA from 1 species
AGAGUUUGAUCCUGGCUCAGAACGAACGCUGGCGGCAUGCCUAACACAUGCAAGUCGAACGCGUGUAGCAAUACACGAGUGGCGGACGGGUGAGUAACGCGCGGGAACCUGCCCAAUGGUAGGGAAUAACUGCGGGAAACUGCAGCUAAUACCCUAUGCUCCCUACGGGGGAAAGAUUUAUCGCCAUUGGAGGGGCCCGCGUCGGAUUAGCUAGUUGGCGGGGUAACGGCCCACCAAGGCUACGAUCCGUAGCUGGUCUGAGAGGAUGAUCAGCCACACUGGGACUGAGAUACGGCCCAGACUCCUACGGGAGGCAGCAGUGGGGAAUAUUGGACAAUGGGGGAAACCCUGAUCCAGCAAUGCCGCGUGAGUGAAGAAGGCCUUAGGGUUGUAAAGCUCUUUCGGCGGGGACGAUGGUGACGGUACCCGCAGAAGAAGCCCCGGCUAACUUCGUGCCAGCAGCCGCGGUAAUACGAAGGGGGCUAGCGUUGUUCGGAAUCACUGGGCGUAAAGGGCGCGUAGGCGGCGCGACAAGUCAGGCGUGAAAGCCCCGGGCUCAACCCGGGAAUUGCGCUUGAUACUGUCGUGCUUGAGGCCGGGAGAGGAUGGCGGAAUUCCCAGUGUAGAGGUGAAAUUCGUAGAUAUUGGGAAGAACACCGGUGGCGAAGGCGGCCAUCUGGACCGGUUCUGACGCUGAGGCGCGAAAGCGUGGGGAGCAAACAGGAUUAGAUACCCUAGUAGUCC